rnacentral:lncRNA from 1 species
UUUUCUGUUCUAUUUUCUUUUAUUCCAUUUAUUUUCAAAAAUUCAUAACUAUUUUAUUUGGAAUCACAAAAAUAUGAGACCAAUUGCAAAAAAUUUCUUUUAAAAUCUAGUUUCAUAAUCUGAAUUUUAAUUAUUUUUGUGAUUCCAUUUAAUAUUUUUUGUGAAUUAUUUUGUUUUUAAUAGUUUUUAAUUCAUUUUAAAUACUUUCUGAUAUUCAAAAAUUCUAAAAAU